GUGAAGCUAGCUCACCACUCUAGUGAGAGCUAUCCCUCCACAGGUUCCAGGGCAGGAAACAGAAAGGCUUCGACUUCUGACCUCCAAAACAUCAGGCCUCUCUAGGAGUCCAAGAUAGGAAUUUGAAUGGAUAGAAACAAAAAGAGAAGAAGGAAGAAACCAUUCUGCACCCCCUAACUCAGUGACCUCAAAGAAUAUCUAACAAAGAUGAGGUGAUUGCCCUUCCAAUUUGGAAAAGGCAUGGUCUUUGGCAAUAAUUCUCCUUCUCUUGGUGAUGUCCAUGAGAUUACAUGACCCUGAAUGAAUCAAUGGCCUGAAAGAAUAACUCAUGGUGCACUAAGUAAGAAUCAAAUUUCAUGUCUGGACUUUCCUUCUGAAAUGGGAACACUGUGGUACAAAGUUCCAGAAGAUUCUGCCAGAGCUCACAGAAGCUGCCUCCUACAGGAACAGGCAAAAACAUUAAAAACCUUUGUUGUAGCCUCUCUCUGGCUUGGGUGUGGCCUUGUGACAUGGCUCUACAUAAUCCUUUCUAGGAGCCCAGGAGGAGAGAAAUGCCCAGGAAAGACAUCUCUUCACCUCAGAAAAGAAAGGUCAACUACAAGAAAAAAUGACGCAAAAGCCCAGCUCUUAGAUCUAAGCAUCCUCAUGUGUGAAAAUCCAGGUAAAGUGUGCCAGGUCCCACCAAAGCCCACCAAUCUUAGAGUCGACCUGGCUGUGUUGUCAGCGAAUGAUCCUUUUGUGAGAAGACACACAAUGGUAUCAAAUCACAGAAUCACAAGAACAGCACUCUGCCUCAGUCUGCCCUCAGCUCAGUCAGGAAAAGUGUGGAAAACUAAAUUUUAAAAUAAUAACAAUAAAUAAACAGGAUUUUAGACCCA
rnacentral:lncRNA from 1 species